UAUGAGUAUCUUGAAUGCUCAAGCUCCACCUUCCGAACUUCCUCCUUCGGCUUCACGUCCACCAAACCCACAAACUAAAUACUGAAGAAUCUCUGUGAUUAGAUGAGGCAGUGGAGUUGCAUUGAAAGCUCUUAAGCAGUUAAACGGGUACAAAAUGGUUGGGGUCAUGGAAGUAUAUCAAGUCUGCAGGCCCAGAAAAUGAGUUAAUGAUCUGAAUUCUGAAGUAGUAAUGUACUAAUGUAGUAUCUAAGUAUCAAUGUAAUAUUGUCCAGUCAAGUAGUUCGUAGUAUAUGAAAAUUUGAAGGCCAUGAAAUUGACUUUGUUAAUUUAUUUUGUGU